rnacentral:rRNA from 1 species
UACAAAAGGUGCAAGCAUUAAACAUGUGAUUUGGUGUAAAGCGUUUGUUUUUUAACAAAUAGGCGGCAUUUUUCCGUGCUCUACAAAAGUUUAAAUUUAUAAUUUAAAAAUGUAGUUUAUAUGAUAAUGCUAGAGUGGAACAGGGGGCAACAGAAAAUCACUUCAGUUGGAGUAAAAUUUUGUGGUGAUAGAAUGCCGGCGGCGAAAGCGGUUGCCUGGGUUUUUACUGACGCUUAAGAACGAAAGCAUGGGGAGCAAAUGGGAUUAGAUACCCUUGUAGU